UAAACUGAAGAGUUUGAUCAUGGCUCAGAUUGAACGCUGGCGGCAGGCUUAACACAUGCAAGUCGAGCGGUAGAAAGUAGCUUGCUACUUUUGAGAGCGGCGGACGGGUGAGUAAUGCGUGGGAAUCUACCUGGUAGUGGGGGACAACAGUUGGAAACGACUGCUAAUACCGCAUACGCCCUACGGGGGAAAGCGGGGGAUCUUCGGACCUCGUGCUAUCAGAUGAGCCCGCGUGAGAUUAGCUUGUUGGUGGGGUAAUGGCCUACCAAGGCGACGAUCUCUAGCUGGUCUGAGAGGAUGAUCAGCCACACUGGGACUGAGACACGGCCCAGACUCCUACGGGAGGCAGCAGUGGGGAAUAUUGGACAAUGGGCGCAAGC
rnacentral:rRNA from 1 species